UAGUAAUGCUCUAUGUUUGUAUAUUCAAAUCGAAUUCGAUGACUUAAUUUAUUUUAUACAGGUGUUUUAUGGGUUAUCUACACGCAUUAAAGGUUGUUAUGAUGUACUUGUACUUAUUAUGUGUAUUACUGACAAUAUUCGACUCAGUACGAUAGACCACCUCCUUAUGCUCACACCUAGAAUAUUUUCUAAAAAUAUUCAAUUUUGAUUUUUUAUAAAGUCAUUAUGGAUAUUAAGUUUAAACUAAUCGUUUUAUUCGGAAUAUCGUUGAACAGAAACACCUGCCGACAGUUUCACAUCAGAAUUAAAAGCACACGACUUAGAUAAGCAACCUAAAACCCGGUUCGACCUAUUCAAUAAAAGUGUUGUGACACGGUCAAGCGAAGAAAAUACAAGUGACAACUCUGUCAGAUUUGCCGUCUCAAAUAUCAGAAACAUCAUAAAAAAACAUUCGGAAUUUUUGGUUAUUCAGACAAAAUUAAUAUACAUACGAAUAGUUUUAGUUCAGAAAUGAAUUACUUAAAAAAAUGUAUUUAAAAUGUUCAAAAAAUAUUUUCGCUUACAUUUAUAUUCAGAUAAAAAUUCCGGUUUUUUUUUUUUGUAAACGUUUUAUGUCGCCAUCGAAGCUAACUUACCUAAGUCGUGUGAUUUUAACUCUGAUGUGAAACCGUCGGCAAGUGUUUCUGUAAACGAUAUUCCGAAUAAAAUAACUAGUACAAACUUAAUAUCAAAAAUGACUUUAUAUAAAAUGAAAAUUGUAUAUUUUUUUAGAAAAUAUACUAGUUGUGAGUAUAAGAAUGUUGUCUAUGGUCGAAUAUUGUCAGUUAUACGUUUUUAUAUUAUUACUAUAUUUUACUAAACAUCAAGCAGGUACUACCUAUCGAGCAUUGUGCGAUUGCUUUCUGAGAUUUAUUGUUUUUAUUUGUUACUUCAACACACAUGUUGUCACACAUCGGUUUUCCUAAUCGUGGUAAAAAAAAAAAAAUCGAGUACAGAAAAAAAAAAUGUAAUUUGUCAGAUGCUCAUUUAAAUUACCCACGCUGUAUAAAGUAUAAAAAAAUAAACUGUAAAGCAUAAUAAGGCGGUAACAAUAUUUAAAUUAAACUCAUAUUUAAAUACAUUUUUUUUAUGUUUAUAUAACAUAAUAAACAAAUAUUACAUAAAAUACAAUUUUAAAAAUCGUUUUUUAACCUAUAUUGUCAAAAAUGGAACUGAUUUAUUAGUGAGUUAAUGAGAAUUACUUAAAGAGUUGAACGGUACCCUAUGUAUUUUAUUUUAUAUAUAAACAAUAAAAUAACCAAAAACCCAUGUCAACAUUUUAAGACAUGGUAAAAAAACAGUUUGUUUUAGAUUCAAAUUAUGAUUUCUAUAUUUUAAGUUAACAAUAUUUUACAAACCUCAAGUUGUGUCCCAAUGGGAUAUUAUUAUAUUUUGUUAUUUUCUUUUUGCGGGUGAGCUUUAACUAAUCAUUGUUGGAGAAUUAUAUCCACAGCACUUUUAUACACGAGUUGGACAAAGUAUUAAACUAUUAAUUAAAAUAUUAAAUGUAUUAUUAGAUAAUAACUAAUAGCUAUAAAUCUAUGGAUUUAUAACAGAAACUCUUAAACGACAAUAAUAUACUAUAGUUUAAUCAAUUUUACUUUUUAAUACAUUUAUUACAUUAUGGUAAUUACUUAGUUCAUAUGUUAUAUCACAUAUUUUAAAUCUUAUGUUAACUGUAUGUAAAUAUAUAAAGUUUACAAAGAUUAUAAACUAAUAUAUUUAAUACUACAUACAUAAACUACUACCACACGAGUGUACAUUAUAAACUUAAAAGGCUUGAAAAAUGAAUUAUAACAAAAUCGAUUUUCGACCCGUUUAAUUUUUCUAGAAAUUAUACUUCUUUUAAAAAAUUAUUUAAAUAUAAUAUUAUAAGUUCCAUUUUAAGUUGUAAACUCUAUAUAUUUGCAAAUAUUGUUUUAAGCGCAAACCACGUGUAAUAAAUAACAAUAUUAUUCUCUACCUAAUCUGAUAACUCUUUCUAGCCCUAUUCAUAGUGUCCGAAAUCUGCGGUAUAGAUGGUAGUUUUUUUUCUUCUAUUUAUUUUCCUUGACAUUUUUUUAAAUUCUUUUAGCCAGUUUACACGACCAUAAAGCGUCAGUUCCUACGUGCAUUAUUGUGCAUACAACAAUAUUAUUAUCAUCGUACCUAUCCCUCCAGGUCGGUUUGUAAACACGGAUUUUGGUUUUUGAAAAUAAUCUGUCGGCAUCGCGUGUCGUGUCAACAGACAACAAUAUAAAAAAAAAUAUCCAAAAACAAAUUAACUAUCGAAUAAUAAUUAAUUUAUCGCCAUUGUUCGUGCGGAGAACGACAAAAAAGAUAUAUUAUAAUAAAACUCUUAAAAAAACCAUAAAAUUAUCGGCCAUCGAACAUGCUUAUGAUUCGACGACGAUUACAUUAUUAAACACCACAAAAGACAAUGCGCCACAUAACGUUGUUAAUUAUUUCCAACAACGAUAAUCUUAUUUCAGUCGCUUCAGUCUCAUCGUUAAAGUGUUCUAUUCAAUUUGGUAAAACUAUAACUCAAAAAAAAAAAAAAAAAAACUAGUACAGUGGGAUCACAGGUAUUCUAGAAUUAAUAUAACUGAAGGUACAAAUACGAAUAUUGAACAUUUAUUUUCAUAUCGUUAUUAAAUCUUUUAUGCUAAUAAAAAAUAUAAAUUUUAAAAAUACUGUAUAAUACUUGAUUUUACUUCAAAUACCAAAACUAUGAACUGCGUCUAAUAUCGAAUUCAUGUAUUAAAAUAUAUUUUAUUGGAAAACAGAUAUGACAAUAAUUAUUGUGAUGAUAAGUGGUGAGAAUCAUAAGAGUAACUUUAUUUUCAAAACCAAUUUAUUAGCUAUAACUUGCUAUGUACUUGUACUUAUUGUGGCAGUAUUCGUCUCGGUAGACCUCCAGCUUAUACUCACACCUAGAAUAUUUUCUAAGAAAUUCUUUUUUGAUUUCGAAGCUGAACAAUUUUGAUUUUUAUAGACUAUUUUGAACAUGUUUUAAACGAUCCGACUAAAUGUUUUUACAUUAUUGCUACAUUGUAAUGAUAUCCGUUUGAUGUAAAUUGUAUAACUACAUUGUGCGUCCGCCCAAUGGCUCAAAAGUGUAUGGAAAUAUUAAAAUUAAUUGAACAUAUUUUA